rnacentral:lncRNA from 1 species
UGGGGAAAAAGGGAUUCAAAAUAAAUGGUGAAAGUGAGAAAGGAGGGGAGGAAUGUUGGAAGAGAGGAGAAACAAAGGGGUAUAGGGUGAGAUAUGAAAUUCGGCACAAAAGAAGAAGGGAGAAAAAAAUGGUGUAUGGUUUUCAAACAUGAAAUGCGACACUGGAGCGGAGAAAGGAGUGUAGGAUUUGCUUCUUUUUUAUUAUUGAAUGGAUGGGUCAGCUUUUUUAAAAAUCAAAAUAUUCCUAACAAGGUUGGAGUUGGAAAUUUCAAAAUAAUGGGAGGUGAAGGGUGAAGUCAAGGGAGAAGCCCUCCAUAAUUUUUCAUGCAGAAAAAAGAAAACCAAAAAAAAAACCCCCAAAAAAAGAGGCUUGACCACAGCUCCAACUUCGCCCAACAACAACUGCAACUCCUAUUUCGGAAAAGCACCAGUGCACCUCCAACUGCGGCGUCCUCAACCGCACGUCCAAGUGCGGUUCUGCGCUAUCACUAAGCAGCUCCAACUGCGACGCGACUCUCAAACGCAGUGGUGCCUUAACCGUAGUUACAUGUGCAGUUAAGGCGUCCCUCUCGUAUCCUCAUUCCCCAACCCAAGAUCUAACAUCCCCAACCCAAAUCAAGAAAACCUAACCCCAAAUCAAGCAACCUCAACCCCAGAUUAAGCAUACCAACCAACAAGCAUACCAUAAUAAUAAGAGAUAACAUAACCAAACAAUCAUCAUGCAUUACAUACGACCAACAUAAGGAAACCACACAACAACUAACCUGGACGCCAAAGCUAAGCUUGAAGAAAAACAACCACUAGUAUGCUACAUCGCACCACCACAACAACACCACACAACCACCAAACCAGAAACCAGAGAGGAGGGAAAAGGAGGUUCAAAAUAAAUGGUCAAAGUUAGAGAAGAGGAGAGAGGGGAGGACUGUUGGAAGAGAGGAGAAACAAAAGGAUAUAGAGUGAGAUAUGAAAUUCGGCAUAGAAGAAAGGAGGAAAAAGGGAUGUAGGGUUUUCAAACGUGAAAUGUGACACUAAAGUGGAGAAAAAUAUGUAGAGUUUGCUUCCUUUUAGGCUUAAAUGCUUAAUUCGUCCCAAAGUUAGGGGCUGAAUUUCUGUUUUGUACCUGAUUUUAAAAAUGAAGCUAUUUUGUCCUCAUGUUACAAAUGUUGUAAGAGUUCGGUCCCUUCCAUUAAAUUGAUAAUAACGGUGUUAAUUUCAUGCUGAUCUGGCGUACUUUUUUUCUUCUCUGCUUUGUUGUCCAGCUUUUUCUAUGUACUAUUCAGCUUUUUCUCUCUCUCUUC